rnacentral:rRNA from 1 species
UACGUAGGGUCCGAGCGUUGUCCGGAAUUAUUGGGCGUAAAGAGCUUGUAGGCGGUUUGUCGCGUCUGCCGUGAAAAUCCGGGGCUCAACCCCGGACUUGCGGUGGGUACGGGCAGACUAGAGUGUGGUAGGGGAGACUGGAAUUCCUGGUGUAGCGGUGAAAUGCGCAGAUAUCAGGAGGAACACCAAUGGCGAAGGCAGCUCGCUGGGACGGUAUUGACGCUGAGACGCGAAAGCGUGGGGAGCAAACAGG